rnacentral:rRNA from 1 species
UACAGAGGGUGCAAGCGUUAAUCGGAAUGACUGGGCGUAAAGCGUGUGUAGGUGGUUGGAUAAGUUAGAUGUGAAAUCCCCGGGCUUAACCUGGGAACUGCGUUUAAGACUGUUUAACUAGAGUACUGUAGAGGAUAGUGGAAUUUCCAGUGUAGCGGUGAAAUGCGUAGAUAUUGGAAGGAACACCAGUGGCGAAGGCGACUAUCUGGAUAGAUACUGACACUGAGACACGAAAGCGUGGGGAGCAAACAGG